GUCUACAGCCAUGCCACCCUGAACACGCCCGAUCCCAUCUGAUCUCAGGGUCGGGCCUGGUUAGUACUUGGAUGGGAGACCACUUAGGAAUACCAGGUGUUGUAGGUG
rnacentral:rRNA from 1 species